rnacentral:rRNA from 1 species
GACGAACGCUGGCGGCGUGCUUAACACAUGCAAGUCGAACGAAAAGAGGGAAAGAGCUUGCUCUUUCCGGAAUUGAGUGGCAAACGGGUGAGUAACACGUAAACAACCUGCCUUCAGGAUGGGGACAACAGACGGAAACGACUGCUAAUACCGAAUAAGUUCCAAGGGCCGCAUGGCCCAUGGAAGAAAAGGUGGCCUCUACCUGUAAGCUAUCGCCUGAAGAGGGGUUUGCGUCUGAUUAGCUGGUUGGAGGGGUAACGGCCCACCAAGGCGACGAUCAGUGGCCGGUCUGAGAGGAUGAACGGCCACACUGGAACUGAGACACGGUCCAGACUCCUACGGGAGGCAGCAGUGGGGAAUCUUCCGCAAUGGGCGAAAGCCUGACGGAGCAACGCCGCGUGAGUGAUGACGGCCUUCGGGUUGUAAAACUCUGUGAUCCGGGACGAAAAGGCAGAGUGCGAAGAACAAACUGCAUUGACGGUACCGGAAAAGCAAGCCACGGCUAACUACGUG